rnacentral:snRNA from 1 species
GUGCUCAUUUGAGCAGCACAUCUACAAAAACUGGAAAGAUGCAGAGAAGACUAGCAUGGCCCCUAUGCGAGCAUGA